CUACGUGCCAGCAGCCGCGGUAAUACGUAGGGCGCGAGCGUUGUCCGGAAUUAUUGGGCGUAAAGAGCUUGUAGGCGGUUUGUCGCGUCUGCUGUGAAAGGCCGGGGCUUAACCCCGUGUAUUGCAGUGGGUACGGGCAGACUAGAGUGCAGUAGGGGAGGCUGGAACUCCUGGUGUAGCGGUGGAAUGCGCAGAUAUCAGGAAGAACACCGAUGGCGAAGGCAGGUCUCUGGGCUGUAACUGACGCUGAGAAGCGAAAGCAUGGGGAGCGAACAGGAUUAGAUACCCUGGUAGUCCAUGCCGUAAACGUUGGGCACUAGGUGUGGGGGACAUUCCACGUUUUCCGCGCCGUAGCUAACGCAUUAAGUGCCCCGCCUGGGGAGUACGGCCGCAAGGCUAAAACUCAAAGAAAUUGACGGGGGCCCGCACAAGCGGCGGAGCAUGCGGAUUAAUUCGAUGCAACGCGAAGAACCUUACCAAGGCUUGACAU
rnacentral:rRNA from 1 species